ACAGGCGACAGAUUACACAGCUCUAAAACACAAACAGUCUGAUUUUCACAACACUGCAGUUUUAAAGCUCACUGACAUCAGCAGCAAUCAGAUCAUCCUCACAUCCAAACACACACCCAACCUGCAGUCAAGCACUUCUCUCUGUUUAUCAUCACAGGGAGCUUAACGUGUUCCAGCACCUGGCAAAAUGGGCUAUCUGAAACUAAUUGAGAUUGAAAAUUUCAAAUCUUAUAAAGGCCGACAAAUAAUCGGACCUUUCCGCAAAUUCACAGCUAUAAUCGGACCAAACGGCUCGGGAAAAUCCAACCUGAUGGACGCCAUCAGUUUUGUGCUGGCAGAAAAGACCAGUAACCUCCGUGUUAAAACACUGAAAGACCUGAUUCACGGUGCGCCGGUAGGAAAACCUGCAGCUAACCGUGCAUGUGUCGGUAUGGUGUACUGUGAGGAUAACGGACAUGAGCGCACAUUCACGCGAGUUAUAAUCGGUGCCUCAUCUGAAUAUCGGAUUGACAACAAGGUGGUAGGACUCUCAGAGUACAGUGAGGAAUUGGAGAAACUGGGAAUCCUCAUCAAGGCCAGGAACUUCCUAGUAUUUCAGGGUGCUGUGGAAUCCAUAGCUAUGAAAAAUCCCAAAGAGAGAACGGCUCUGUUUGAGGAGAUCUCCCGCUCUGGGGAACUAGCUCAGGAGUAUGAUCGCAGGAAGAAAGAGAUGGUAAAGGCGGAAGAGGACACCCAGUUCAAUUACCACCGUAAGAAGAACAUCGCGGCUGAACGCAAAGAGGCCAAGCAAGAGAAAGAGGAGGCUGAGCGUUACCAGAGGCUGAAAGACGAGGUUGUUAGAGCUAAUGUGCAGUUACAGCUUUUCAAACUGUACCACAAUGAGUCUGAAAUUGAGAAGCUCAACCGAGAGCUGUCCCAGCGUAACCGGGAGAUCGAGAAAGAUAGAAAGAAGAUGGAUCAUAUAGAUGAGGAGCUUAAAGACAAGAAGAAAGAGUUGGGGAGAAUGAUGAGAGAGCAGCAGAAUGUGGAGAAAGAGAUAAAAGAGAAGGAUGCCGAGUUAAACCAGAAACGGCCUCAAUACAUCAAGGCCAAGGAGAACACCUCACACAAGAUAAAGAAGCUGGAGGCAGCACGAAAGUCUUUGCAGAAUGCUCAGAAGAUGUACAAGAAGCGUAAAGCAGACAUGGAGGAGCUGGACCGAGAACAGGGAGCUGUGGAGAUGGCCAGGCAGGAGUUUGAGGAGCGCAUGGAGGAGGAGGCUCAGAGUCAAGGCCAGGACCUCACUCUGGAGGAGAACCAGGUAAAGCAGUACCACAGGCUGAAGGAGGAGGCAAGUAAGCGAGCAGCCACUCUGGCCCAAGAGCUGGAAAAGUUCAACCGGGAUCAGAAAGCUGACCAGGACAGACUGGAUCUGGAGGAGAGGAAGAAAGUGGAGACUGAGGCCAAAAUCAAGCAGAAAAUCAGAGAGAUUGAGGAAAACCAGAAGCGUAUUGAGAAGCUGGAAGAUUACAUUGCGACCAGCAGGCAGUCGUUAGAUGAACAAAGGAGGAUGGAAGAGGAACUGACUGAGGAAGUGGAGCUUGCCAAAAGAAGGAUUGAUGAAAUAAACAUGGAAUUAAACCAGGUGAUGGAGCAACUUGGGGAUGCGAGAAUUGACAGACAGGAAAAUAGCCGUCAACAGCGAAAAGCUGAAAUCAUGGAGAGCAUCAAAAGGUUGUACCCAGGCUCUGUAUAUGGCAGACUUAUUGACCUGUGCCAGCCAACGCAAAAGAAAUAUCAGAUUGCUGUGACAAAGGUUCUGGGAAAGAACAUGGAUGCUAUCAUUGUGGAUUCAGAGAAGACAGGUAGAGACUGCAUACAGUACAUCAAAGAGCAAAGAGGAGAACCAGAGACUUUUCUGCCCCUGGACUACCUAGAGGUAAAACCCACUGAUGAAAAACUGAGGGAGCUACGAGGAGCCAAACUGGUGAUUGACGUGAUCCGUUAUGAGCCACCUCACAUCAAGAAAGCUUUGCAAUACGCCUGUGGAAAUGCUCUUGUGUGUGAGAAUGUCGAAGAUGCACGCAGGAUCGCGUUUGGAGGGCCUUAUAGGCAUAAGACUGUAGCCUUGGAUGGCACUCUUUUCCAAAAGUCUGGGGUGAUCUCUGGAGGAGCAAGUGACCUCAAAGCCAAGGCUCGACGCUGGGAUGAAAAAGCUGUGGACAAACUCAAAGACAAAAAAGAAAAGCUAACCGAAGAGCUCAAGGAGCAAAUGAAGGCAAAGAGGAAGGAAGCAGAGCUGAGGCAGGUGCAGUCUCAGGCCCAUGGCUUACAAAUGAGACUGAAGUACUCUCAGAGUGACCUAGAACAGACCAAAACACGUCACCUUUCCCUCAACAUGCAGGAGAAAUCAAAGCUAGAGAGUGAACUGGCAAAUUUUGGACCCCGAAUCAAUGACAUCAGGAGAAUCAUCCAAUCACGUGAAAGAGACAUCACACAGCUGAGAGACCGCAUGAACCUGGUGGAGGAUGAGGUAUUUGUGGAAUUCUGCAAAGAGAUUGGAGUGAGAAAUAUCCGAGAGUUUGAAGAGGAGAAAGUUAAAAGACAGAAUGAGAUUGCCAAAAAACGACUUGAAUUUGAGACCCAAAAGACCCGCUUAGCCAUUCAGCUGGACUAUGAGAAGAACCAACUGAAGGAGGACCAGGAGAAAGUGAUGAUGUGGGAGCAGACUGUGAAGAAGGAUGAGAGUGAGAUCGAAAGACUUAAGAAGGAAGAGCACAGACAAAUGAAGAUCAUUGAUGAGACCAUGGCUCAGUUGCAGGACCUCAAAAACCAGCACCUAACUAAAAAAGGCGAAGUCAAUGACAAAAACCGAGAGAUGGAGGACAUCCGCAAGAAACUAGGAUCUGCCAACAAAGAGCUCACUCAGCUCCAGAAAGAGGUGACAGCUAUUGAGACAAAGCUGGAGCAGAAGCGGAGUGACAGGCACAAUCUUCUGCAGGCCUGUAAGAUGCAGGACAUCAAACUGCCCCUCAAAUCAGGAACCAUGGAUGACAUCAGCCAAGAAGAGGGAGGUUCCCAAGUUGAUGAGUCCAUCAGCAGUCACAAAACCUCCAGCUCUGUGCAUGCCAAGGAGGCCCUCAUAGAAAUUGACUACAACAACUUACAUGAAGACCUCAAAGAUGCUUUGUCUGAGGAAGAGAUCAAGAUUGAGAUGAACACUUUGCAGCAGAGGCUGAACGAGCAGCAGAGCAUCCUCCAGCGCAUCAGUGCUCCCAACAUGAAGGCCAUGGAGAAGCUGGAGAGUGUCAGGGACAAGUUCCAGGAAACCAGUGACGAGUUUGAAGCAGCACGAAAGAGAGCUAAGAAGGCCAAGCAGGCAUUUGAACAGAUUAAGAAGGAAAGAUUUGACAGAUUUAAUACCUGCUUCGAGUCUGUCGCCACCAAUAUUGAUGAAAUCUACAAGGCCCUCUCUCGUAACAGCAGUGCACAGGCAUUCCUAGGCCCAGAGAACCCUGAGGAACCAUAUUUGGAUGGAAUCAAUUACAACUGCGUGGCUCCUGGAAAGAGAUUCAGGCCGAUGGACAACCUGUCUGGAGGUGAGAAGACGGUGGCAGCCCUCGCUCUGCUUUUCGCCAUUCACAGGACAGUCAUGUGGCAGCAUGUUGACUGAAUACACAGCCCUGGGAAAGUGUGGUGUGCUGGAGGUGGUGUUGCUGAUCCUGACAGACUGACAAAAAUCUCCUAGCUAAAAAAGAUCCAGGAUCCAAGUGGCAGAGCAGGAUAGUCAAACCCAUCAGGCUCAGCUUAUUUGUCUAUGAGCCUAAUUGUACAUUGUACAAAGAAAGAUGGUUUGUAUAGCAGAUAUGAAAAUAAAAAUCAGCACACAACCAGAAACCCUGUUCUUUUUUUCCAGUUCAAACUGAAUUCACCAAUGGCGCUGGAGUUUCUUGUAAUAAUGAUUUAAAAAUAGAUAAAGGAUGGUGAAAUGGUCAUUACAUUAGUGUGGGAUAGAUUCAGACUAUAAGCUAUACAUAUAUAACAGUGGUGUCAUGCACCUGUUUUUGUAAGGGGGCAAAGUGUGCACAAGACACAAACAGGUGACAUUAAGAGACACGUGAAUUUUGAACCAUCAUCUUUGCAUGUUAACUUUGUGUUUGCAAGUUUUGUGAUCUUUCCGUGGUACGGGGGGUUUUCACUGACAAAGCUGCCAUUAUCCCACGAUCGUGAACAUAGACAGAUUACAUAUUCAGUAUAUCGUUCACUGAAUUGCUUAACCUUAGCCUUUUUAUUCAGUACAUUCAUUUUCAUAAAGGGGGCCAAAAUUUCUACAAGCCACUAUAUCUACUAUGCCUGCGCGUUGUCAUUUUCCCUGAAAUUUUUAAUCCAAUAAGAAUUUGCAUUUUAGCUACAAGCCUGCUCCUUUUUUUGUCCUUGAUGAGAUCGAUGCUGCGCUUGAUAACACGAACAUUGGCAAGGUGGCCAAUUACAUAAAAGACCAGUCUCUCCAAAACUUCCAGGCAGUCGU